AUGAUGAUGAUGAUCAUGAUGAUGAUGAUGAUGAAAGAGAUGUAGAGAAAGGGAGAGAGAAAGAGAGAAGAUGUAUCCAUCCAACCAACUUGACCCAGGCUCCUGCCCGUCUUUGCACACAAACACACAAGAUGUUUCUUUCGGAUGUCCAAAACACAAGCCAACAAUAACAACAACCACCAGAGAACAUCCAAGCAAUCCCCUAAGGGCUUACGUGUGUAUGAGAGAAAGAGAGAAAGAAAGGAAAGUGGGGCGGGGGGGUUGGGAAGGAAA